GUUUGCUCAUCAGCUCUUGCAAAAAAACUGUUCCCACUGGCUACCAGUGUAAAUGAUCAAAGUUUGGUUUUUGUUUAAUGGGUCUUUGUUAAUGUUUCUUGUUUUCCUUGUUGGGUCAAUAAAUGGGCAAGAUUUUUUUCUUGUCUUAAUUUGUGUCAGCUUAGUUUCUUCUUCUGUCAUCACUAGUUAUUACUCUCUAGCCA
rnacentral:misc_RNA from 1 species